rnacentral:lncRNA from 1 species
CGGCUGCAAAGUUUAGAAAUGUUACCCUAACGCGUAAACCUCCUGUACCGCGCCUCCUCGACCGGUGACCGUCCCUGCUGCUCCGCGCCGCGCCAUCUGUAAACUUGCAUACAGAAAAUAGUAUCUUCCAAAAAACCAACGUCUGUUCGUACCACUGUCUAAUACAAUUAUUUGCAGAAUUACAGUAUGAAACUGAAUCCCCGCAAGCUUUGCUCAAUGUUCCACACUCCUAUACCACCGCAGCGCCACCACUACUAUACACAAUCUCAAGCUUCACAUGCCAUUCCCACCCCCUGUCCCUCCUCGCCACCGAUCAAUGUCGGCUUUGUGGUUUCCUCAAUCAAGUCUUCUCAGUGGCAUUUCAUCAAACAACUUUCCCCAAAUAUGACACCUACCCUCAUUUCCACCACUUUUGUCAAUCUUCGCUCUUCCCCUGACCUAAUUACUGAUUUCAUAGAAAAUCUUAGUGCCAGUUCGCUCACCACCGAAUGCUAUUGUCUCGCCAUUGCAAUUCUUGCUCGCCUGCCGUCCCCGAAACAAGCUUUGCAACUUAUUAAGAAAAUGAUCAAUUCUGGUGUUGCAACUCAUAGAGAGAUUUUUGAUGGAUUAGUUUGUGCGCGGAGGAGGUUGAAUGUGUCCAGUACAAUUGCUCUAGAUUUGUUGUU